UGGGGAAUAUUGGACAAUGGGGGAAACCCUGAUCCAGCGACGCCGCGUGGGUGAAGAAGGCCUGCGGGUUGUAAAGCCCUUUCGGUUGGGAAGAAAAGUUGCGACCUAACACGUCGCGACCUUGACGUAACCAACUAAAGAAGCACCGGCUAACUCUGUGCCAGCAGCCGCGGUAAUACAGAGGGUGCGAGCGUUAAUCGGAAUUACUGGGCGUAAAGCGCGCGUAGGCGGCUUGGCAAGUCGGGCGUGAAAUCCCCGGGCUCAACCUUGGAACUGCAUUCGAGACUGCUUUUCUAGAGUAUGGGAGAUGGAAGUGGAAUUUCCGGUGUAGCGGUUAAAUGCGUAGAUAUCGGAAGGAACAUCAGUGGCGAAAGCGACUUCCUGGACCAAUACUGACGCUCAUGUGCGAAAGCGUGGGGAGCAAACA
rnacentral:rRNA from 1 species